UGCCAUGUGAUUUUAUAUUUUUAUGUAACCACCACUUUUGACCUGAUUGUGUAGUGGUUGCUAAAUAGUCUUUUUUCUUUUCUUCUUUUUUUUCUUUCUUAAAUUUCAUUCUGCAACUUGUUGCCUUAGAGCAGCUUUGGAGAUAAACUAACUGUUAUAGUAUCACCUCCUGUGCACUGUCUCUCUCCCCUGCCCAGAACAACAAUCUAAUCUUCACAAGAUAGAGAAAUUCUUACUUCAAGCUCUAAUGCAAUUGAGAGCGGCUAAGCACAGCAGUUGCAGGACAUGGGUCAACCCAUCAUUAAAGGGAUUAGACAAUGGAAGCAGGGAUUUCGAGGAUUUCAAGACCUGGAUUAGCCGUAGCAUGAGGGUGUCACAUGAAGAUUUAUAGCAACUGUCAACCAGCCAUCCCUCUCCUCACACUGUCCAUCUCUGGGAUACUGGUCCUCCUAUAGCUACAGUGGCCCCAAAAGUAUUUGCACACACUUCAAAUAAAUAAUUUUUAUUGCAUCAGAUACAAAAUAUCCCUAAU